AAAUUCAAUAGAGCAUAUUAUCAUAUAAGCCGCAAAUAAGGUGUGGCGUCUCUACGACUGACCGUAAAUCAGUAUCUAUGAAAUUCAAGGGGAAUAGU
rnacentral:ncRNA from 1 species